GAGCUGGGCUGGCAAUGUGAUGCACCCAUGGGAUUUCGGGGGUAAUGAGGUGGGAGGGAGCUGUUGCAGAGGUUGUGUGAGCAUCACAGAGCAGUGCCAGGCUGUGGCCGUGGGGCUGCAGCAUGUGCUGGGUGGUUAACAUUUCAGUUCCCAAAAGCAGAGGGGAGAGCUAAGCCUUGCAGAAGCAUUGGAGUUUGCACUUCUGGAGCCCUUCUCUGCGCAAAAUGUGUGGCAGGAAAGAACUUCUGCUCUUGACUGAGGAUGUGGUCAGCUGUGGAGCUGAGCUGGGGGUUUAAGGCAACCCACCUGGGGAGCUGAGUCCAGGCUGUGCCACGCUGCUGGGGAGCUGCUGAUUGUGCACAGAAGGCAAGCCACUUUGGACUUCAACAUUUCUCCUGCGGGGCUCCAACGUCAGAACAAAGUCUUGUUGUUAUUUUGCCAAACUGAAGUACUGGGAUGUGGAUGGAGCAAAAACUGAGUAAUCACUGAAUCGUUGAGCUAUCAGUUACCAUCAGUGACAGCUCCUGGAGCUGUUUGGGAAUCCCAGCCGUGAGAAACCUCUAUUGCUUUGGGCCAAGUCCUGCUCCUCCAUGGCUGCUGAAUGAAUGGCCCCUGCCAGUGCUGAAGGACCCUGGAAGAAAAACGUGUCUCUGAUUAUUUACAAAUACACUGAAGAGCGCAGACUGAGACCCCUCUACAGAAUGGCAAUAGAUUUGAGGUGUUCCUUUCUCGAAGGAAAACCACUUUUUUUUCUUUUUUACCCCCAAUAUUUCAGAUGUAUCCAAAGGCACACUAAUAUUUUUUCUAUCACUUUGGCCGAGUGUCACUUCACAGUCUGUAACAACUCCAAACCCUUCCCAUUUGUUACCCUGCAGCUCCCAGACAUGGAAGCUGCCAUGCACAGUGAUUACCUGCUACAAUUAAGUAAUUGAAUUGUUUCAUCCUGGUUCCUCAUCCUGAGCACUUAAGAGAAUGCCACUUCAGCCCAGUGAAUUUGCAGUCUUUGGUUUGGCUAUUUUUUCCUCAGCCUCCUCAGCAGGUAGCUUGAAUGUAAGUCAAAUCCUGUGCCAUGUCCUUACACAGAGUUUUGGCACAGAUGCUUCUCAGAGCUUGUCCUCGCCGACUGUGGUUGCAAAACACCCACUUUGUUCUUUUCCUUGUUCCCACCUUAUCUCCUGUGAGAGCUCCUGUUGCACCAUGGCCAACUUCUGACUCUCCAGCAGGCUUCCUGUGCUUCAUGUGUUUGAAGAGGAUUUAUUAUUAUUUGCUUUUGCUUUUUUGCCAGUGGUUCACGUAACUGUUUUUUUGCUUGCCUUAUUUCCAUUUUGUUUUUAAAUUUAAAUGGUCAGGAUACACAUUCUUUUGCUCAUUUAGACAAAAAUUACUUUUCUAAGCAUUAAAAGUCUGCAUCCUUAACGUCUGAAGGUCAUUGGCCCUUCUCAUCUCAGCUUCAUCUUAGACCUAACAAGGCAUAGGACUCAGGAUCUCACACUGGACUAAUACCUGUUUUUUGGUUUGCAAGGAUUCUGUGAUACCAGAUUUUUCCAGCAUGACACAUUUAUAUAGAUAAAAAUCAUCAGUGGCUAGGAUGGAUUUUGCCUGUCUCAGGUUUGGAGUAUUUCACCUUCACCAGUGGAAGGAGGAGAGCAUUUCUCUGACUAGAUAUGAUUGUUUUUGAAGCAAUUUUGGGGUGUGCUCCCCUAGCAUGGAGCAAGCUGGGCAGGGAGCCCCACCAGAGGAGGUUUGGGGUGCGGGCAGAGGGACUGAGAUGCUCCCUGCCUCCUCGGCCUGUUUGCCUACAUGCAUCUGGAAGGCCUGUUGCCAUGGAGAAGUGAUGGGGAACCGUCUGCCUGGCUCGCCUGACUCUUUUCCUAGCACGAAGUAAAGGCAUUUCGCCAGCUUUAAUGAGCUGUAGGCGCUUGGCACAGUGGCUGCAUCCCCAUCUUUGUCACACUGGGCUGCCUGAACCCCCAGAUUCCAGGAGAGAUCUGAAAGCAGAGAGGAAACCUGAAGUGCAGGUGGGGAAGGGAGCAGAGUGCAAGAUGGAAACUGCAAGGAGAUUAGGAGCCAGGGAGUGAUGGAGCAGGGCCCUCCGCAGGGGUGCAUGAGCUCUGGUUAUGAAUUGCAACAAGGGAAAUUCUGAUCAGUCAUGGAAAAAACUCCUUCCCUGUGAGAGUGGCAUAGCCCCAAGAUGGACACUGGAGAGCUCCAAAGCCCAUCAUCCAGCCAAGCUCUGAGCAGUGCCUUGAAGUGAGCCCAGCGCUGAGGCUCACUGAGCGGUGGAUGAGGGCGUUUGAAAGAGCUCCCAGAGGAGCACACAUGGCAGAUAGUGGCCUGAAAGUGGGGUGAAGGUGGAGGCAUCCCUCUCUUCCAUUUUGGAACUGACAGUACUGAGCACUGCUUCACUCGCUGUAAUUGCAUGGUUCACAUUCACAACAGUGGUUUUUUCAAGGUGUUCCAUAAAAACAGAUGGAUUCCCUCUUACUUUCUGCUGGAGAAAUGCUUUGGCGUACAAAAAACAAAAGUAAAAAAUUAGGGGGGUCGUUUAUGGCUGUUGGAUGUUUGAUGGGGAUCUCCUUCUGCGAGAAGAAAUCCAGUACGUUGGUGCUGGGUCUUGUUUUGGAUCUGAACAAUAUCACUGAUGGGAACUUCGGGGUGUUCCCAUGUGGAUCUGGGGGGUGACAUCAGGGUUAGAGUAGCAAGUUCUGUUGAUUUUCUUCUUUUUUUGUUUGCAUUUUUUUAGAACAGUGUUUUCUACUGCAGGCAAAAUCUUUAAAUAUUAUGAAAUAAAUGAGUAUUUUUUUUUUCCUGCAAUUAUUUGGUAAAAAGAAAAGUGGGGGUAAGGACAGUAAAAAGGCUUGGGCUGUGGCAGUGUGCGCACCUCCAGAUAGGCAUUUCUGUGUUCACAGCGGUGUUAAUAAGGCUGGGAACUGAGUUACACGAGCAGCUCUACCAUCCUCACCUCCAGCACUCAGGACUGAGGCAGACCUGCCCUAUCUGCUCUCUGAUAUUAGCACAUGGCAGCGAGACUACAGCAUUUAUCACCUCAUC
ensembl:lncRNA